AUAUUGCCCAUCUAACUCCCUGUGUUAACGCUGGGUUCCUGAACUCUACAGGAGGCCUAACAAGAAUGGAAUGUUUGGUCUAUAUAACUCCAGGAGAUGAGGGGUCAUCUGAUUUUCUUUGUUUUAUAAAAACCUGCCCAGCCUCAAAGUAACCUAGGCAGAGCGCUUCGGCCACGAGGGGAAGGAUUGAUAAGGUGUUGCAAUCUGCAGGCUUUUAAUAAAGCUAAAAAGAGAUUACAAAUGAAAGUUUUACAUAUAAUGACACUACUUGAUGAGUAAAAUUUUCAAACCGUUUUAAUCCCUUGUAAUCUAGGCUUAUUUUUCUAAGAUAAUGCUUUUGAAGAUGGCUUGUGUAUGACUUUGAUUUGACAUUCCAAUAAUGAUAUUUAUCAACAAGGGUGGAUUGAAGCAAAUGCUACCACAAAAUUAGAGAUCGCCAUAAAUAAAGAUUAAGAGUUGUGAAUUGUAAGCAUUUGAAAUCUAGUAUAUUGUAAAACGUCUGAAGCUUUAAGAAAAAAACUUGUUUUGACCAGAUUACAAGUGAAAAUUCUUUGUCAAAUUUUUUAGAGCAAUGGGGCACCUUUUUUACAUAGAAGAAGAAAUGAAAGAGAAAGUCAUUAAUCCAAUCAUGACAUUGCAUGCUUCAUCUACAGCAAGAACGUUAUGUCUUCUUUCCUCGUUUCUUGCCAGAGCAUGGUAACGAUGCCUGACGGUAUGUUGCCUUGUGCAAGCAUCAUCGUUGUGCAUACGUUUCAAAAAAGGAAACUAAUGAAGGCAACAAAUCUAAGAGAUUUAACAGAAUAAAUGGAUGAAUACAUUAGGACUGCAUUAAUUGUUGUAAAAGGAGACAGAUCGCAGAAGAUUCUCUGUAAAGCGCCAAACAAUUUGUCGUUUUGAUAGCGUAGCAUAAAAUUAAGUAAGAAAGGACAAAGAAUAGAAGAUUGUAUGAUAACAUGACAUACCAUGACAUAGCACUGCGUCAGAUUGAUGACACAGAACUUAUAAUGCAUUUUAUUAGAACCUUCAAUAAAGCUCGCUAGUUUUGUAAGCAAACCCAUGGAAAACCUGCAUUUAUCUGCAUUUAUUUGCCUUUAUCCACUUAGUGCUAUCGUCACCAGUCUAUGAAUAGGCCUUUCCAAUGCUGGUUGGUACAAUGCACCUCAAGGUCCUAUCAAUUUGACCCAGAAACUGCAAAUUAAUAGCAAAUGACGGUGAAACGUUUGUAAGACAGGUGGCUUGCAAUGGUUGCAAUUUAAACUGUUUCUGAAGUAACAACAAUGACGAGUAAUAGCACUGUUGACUUAGCUUUGUUGUUUGGGAAUAAUCCGUUUAGUAGCGCACCAUAUUUCCCACGUGUGGUGCCGAGGUCAGACUAGAAGGCAACAGAAAGUCGUUUAGUUUUGCAUAUGCAAGGUUUGGAUAAAGCAGGAUUUGAAAAGCCAUUGCAGCCCUAGGAUAACAAAAAUUCAUGGCCAUCUCUAUCUGUAAUUUCCUAACUCAUAGUUAAGAAAACACAUCCCUCAUUUUUAAAAACGGAAACGAUGUUUUUUUCUUUUUCAUGGAACCACACAGAGAAGAAUUCUUGCCAUCAAUAAUUCUUGAUUCUUGUGGUAUUAAAGAUAUCUUGAGUCACAUGGUUUUCUAUAAUGCUGCCAAAGUUUUUUAAAUGAAGACUUUCUUAUCAAUGUGCGAUGUUGAAAAUUCUUUUUCAUUUCAAAAGCACAUGGCAUCACAGCAGUAAUAUCUAUUUUUGAUUUUAAGAGAACCUUUUACAAGACUAAGCAUGCAAAGUUGCAAAAGUUAUAGCUGCUUCAUGUUGUAGAAAUCUUUCAUUAAAUGUUUAAGAUAAAAAGCACUGUGAAAGAGUUGAAAUAUGUUCAAUUGCAGGCAAUGCCGUGUGUUGUUGAACAAGGAUUGACUUUAGCUCCUCCUCUUGAUCGUCAAUAGGCAAGAUUCAGUUUAUAUUUUUGCAUAAAUUUCUCGAUUGCAUUUUGGUUUUAAAGCAGACUUUCUCCUUUCAAUUCUAUAGCAUGCUGUAAAACUUAGUCUGAUUCUUAAAAUUCUUUUCAUGAAGGUGAUCUCUGCAUGAAAUUUCAUCUGCAAAGUUAAUUUGUCAGACAUCAAGAAUAACGAAUUAUUUUUGAAAAAGUAACUUCCAGGCAAUUUUGUCAUUUUAAUUGUUACACCAUUCCAUUAUGAAUGCAUGGAAUACCAUAAAGUUAUGCAGCUUGCAGAUUCGUUCUCAUAUGCCAGCUUCAUCAGAAUCUGUGAAAAAUGAGAUGCUUUCUCAUCUCAAGAUCCCACAGUUCUAUAAUAUAGUUUGCAAAUAAUAUUUAUCAUUUUGAGAACUGUUUACUGAACGCUUAUGCCUACCAUAUUUCACUGAAACUAUUUCAUUGAAAAGUUAAUGCUAUCUUCAUGCUUGUGCCUUUCCCUUUUUAAAUGGGUCUCCCCACAGCAAUUCCAACAUAAGAGGGAAAGGACUCGCUCCCUAUAGUUUCUAGAAAUACCCCCCGCUCUACGUUAUCCAUUAUACGUCUUUCUAAUUCAUCACAUCAUUUACUUUUUGCAAAAAUUGCAAAUCUAGAAUAUUGAAUUAAAUUAUAUAAAGAAAUUAAACCAGAGGUGAACCAAGAUAGUUCCAAGGAUCAAGACCACCGUACUGUUCAAUAAGAUAUAUAAAUGUGUUGAUUUGUAUCCAAACAUUUUUUCAUUUUGUGGUCCCUCAAUCUAUGUCUCCAUUUUGCAGGUAAAGGCGUUGCUGUGAAAAACUAAGUUUAAAAAGCAACAGCCACAGCAUUCAUUCAAAGGUGUGCUCAUCCUCCAGCAUUGAAUGCAAGCAUAUUUCAUCAUGCUGCCUCGCUUAAAGAUAAGAGAGCUAAAGGGCUGGAAAUCUCACGAGUUUGUUAUCGUAAUGAUGGCAACUACAACCUUGAAGGUCCAUAUCUAAUCAAAAGACUUUAUUUCCGUUUAUAAGGAAGAUGCUAUCGAAAAGUGGGCUGGUAGUUCUUGGGCGUGUAUAUCAAAUGAUAUUCAAUUAAAGUAGAUUAAGAUUUUGAUGAGUGAGAUAUGCUGCGACCUUAUGUAUUGAAGGGAAAGCUCUCUAUCCAACAUUUACUGAGACUUAAUCUCAAAAUCCUUCGCUCAGUGAAAAAACUGAAAACUUUCAAAAAAACUUCAAUUGUCAUGUUAAAAGAGAUUCAAAGAUACGUGAAAUUUAUUGAAUUUACCUCUUAUUGAAUUUAUGAUAGAUCAUUUCAGCGAAAGAAGCUAUAGGCUUACGCAGUGUACAGAAAAAUUCUCAAGCUACUGUACAAAUUCAGAUGCAUCCUAACUUGCUCAUAAGUUUAGUUAUUGUUAUUAUGAUUUUUAUUCUCUGGCAGGCAGGCAGUCAUACAUGAUAAAUCUCUCUGUGACUGAAUAUGUUCGUUAGGGGUUAAGCUCCCAGCAUAAAUUUCCUUUAUGUAUUAUGUGGUUUGUGCUGUUAAUGAUGCAAUGUUCACGAGCAAUUGAAAAGCGGUUGUCGAGUUUGCGAGAUUUUUUUGCAUUUUACUUGAGAUUUGCUUCUUAUCGAUGCAUUGAAGCCUUUUUGUAAAGUCGUUAUUAUUGUUGUUUAAAACAUCAAUAAUUCAAAUGCUUUUGAUGGAAAAAGCAGUUUUGCUUUUCUAGUGUUAACACUAUAACAGUUAAGAUGCUAAGAUGGCAUGUCUUUAGAGGUCUUGUGAAGGGUCAAGAAGCCUGUUAUUGUUUUGGGUUGAAUAAAUUCCUUUAGUUAAAACCAUUAGCGAUCUCUCACAGCGAUGUUGAAUAUAGAUCUGCAUAGAUGCAAGUGUUUGAUUUCCUGUCAUUCCAAAUCGCCAAUGACACUAUCUUCUCUUAAGGCGAACCAUUUUAUUACUUGAUUGCUAGCUAAAACGAUUAAAGGUCUCAUGCUUAGUUAUAAGGCCGUUUGAAAGCGAGCGUUUAUCUAUCCUCAACCAAGGUCCGCCCUCUCGAUUCAGCCACUGGUGUAAGUGGAUUAGCUCUGUCAAUCGUACCCUGCAGCUUACCUUGACCAUCCUUAGAGGGCAGUUGUUGUAACUAGAAUAAUUUCUAUGACACUAAGAGAGGCUGAUCAACAAGCAAGCCUCUUCGCAUAUCUGUUGUUUGUCAUUGAUAUAUCUGCCUCUCUCUCACGCAGCAGGAAGUAGCAUAUCAGUUUUCAGGUUUAGAUAUUCCAACCAGGCCAAUACGAAAAGAUCCACUGGGUUUCUUAUGACUGCCUACAGCAUGCAGAGUUGCCCUUUUCAAUUCGCAGACAUUAUUGUUCAAAGGUUUAAAAAUGCGUUUCCAAAUUAAUCUUCUAGGGCAGAUACAAAUGACGACAAUGAAAAGCACAGCACUUUUCUUGUUUCUUGCAUCCUCGAUAAAAUAGAUAGCGUAAACUAACCAGCAGUAGGUAAAAACGAAUAUGUAAACAUAAAACCUUUGAAAACUUAAGCUUGUUUAGAAUUUCUUUUCAUAAAUCAGAUGUAAUUGAGUAAGCCUAUCCAAAUUAGCAUGCGAAAGCUUGGAAAUGAAAAAAGUCGAUGUGUGAGGCACUUGACACCUUCCAUUUGUCGAUAUGUGAGGUACUUGACACCUCGAAGCAAAUCUUCAUCAUAAGCGUGCCUUCCUUGUUCUUUUUAUCAUGUGACCGUAUUAGCAUUGAAUUUGUAGAGCAAUGCAUUUGCGUCUCCGAAGAGAGAGGGAGAACAUUGGAAGAACAUUUGGGAACAACAGGGCAUGCGUGGUGAAUUUUCAAAUUCACAUAUCUGUGUUGCCCUUUUGCGGAGAUUGUUGUCAAACAUCAGCUCUCUUUAGCUCAGAAGGAGUGUAACAUUAAACUAAAAGCUGUGCUUUGCUAUUAUGUUCUAACAUACACUGCUCUAUUUUAUUUAUAAGAAAACUGCUUUAUAGAAAACUAGUACAAGGAUGGCCAAAAAUUCCAAAAACUUUUGUUCUAGGCUCAAGUAAAGGAAGAAACUGUCAAAAUUCUACUUUAUGAAAAAGAGUCCAUAAGUUGUAUUCUUUUGAUUUCUUCUUUGGAAAAGAUAGCAUACUUUGAAAUUUGAUCGUGACGAUCUCCUUUUAUGUUUCUCUAAAAGAGCUCAAUAUCAAAACAAUAAGGUAAUUUUAGGUCCCGAAAAUAAGAAACCAACUAAGAAACUUUUAGCAAUUUUUUGCUGAUCCAAGUUGAUACGAUAAAAACACUGACAUUUAUGAGAGAGAGCUGCCACGUCAUCAACAAAGCACGUGUCAAGAUAUCUCGAUCUUGAUGUUUAUGUUUGUUAAUUUCUGUCGAUUUCUUUUCUCAUUAAGUUAAGAAGCAGAUCUGAUCCAGUCCUGCGAAGUUCCAGCCAAAGUAUGUGCAAUAAUUAGUUACAUAAUUACCUAGGCACUGAAGAACCUAACAGCUCAAUGAUCUAUAUACCAUGCAAAUUUGUUGUUGUUGGCUAACUGCUCAAUAUAACUCAAUCACAACUGCUGCAGCAAGAAGGUAGACAAAGUAUUAAAAGCACUAACAGUUACUAUAGAAAUCUUUACAACGAAGUAACACCGCAACAGCCCUAAACAAGGCAGAGUUCGCUGAGAUGGGACUCUGAUAUACUCUUUUACUUGCAACCAAACCUAACUAGUGAUAUCCUUAUUGCCCGAGAUACUUUUUCGCGUGUCGUUUGUACUUGGUGCGCCAGGUUCACAUCAAGCCUUAACCUCCAAAGUGGUGGGAAUUUUCUUGGGACAAUGUUGUUUUCAAGAAAUUCCUCUUCAAUAGCAUUAGGGGCAGCCAAAAGACUUUUUUCGGAGGGGCACAGAAGUUAUUUUUGCCGGCAUGAAAGGGUGUGUCUCACUCUUUAAGGGUGUGGUCAUAAGAUAAAUAAUCUUAUAUGCUGCUUUCAUGCGUUUCUAUUUUGAGAUUCAAACUUUAGUGCCCUACUUUGAAUGUUCAACUGCUACAGAAAUGUUAAUACGUUACAAUUGCUGCAGAAUAGUUAGAAUUCUACAGUAAGUUGAGAAACAAAUUUUCUUUCCUUGCCCGGCAAAAAUCUGCUAAUCUGACGGGUAAAAUGUUAGGGAGUACAGUGCCCACCCAUACCCCCUCUUUUUCAGACGUUCCUGCCUUUAGUACACGGUUUGGUACUAUCUCUUGUAGUCCGGUGUGAUCCAUCGUCCACAGAAUAGUAGUUUCUGUAAUAUUUGUGAAAAUGGUACCUUCUGGUUUCAGUGGCUCUAAAUGCUUUCUCUUUAUAAUCUAUACCUCAGAAAGCAAGUUUUGAGCCAAUAGGUUCAAG